GGCGCAGGUGGCGUGGCAAGUCAGAAGUGAAAACCCGGGGCUCAAUCCCGCGGACUGCUUUUGAAACUGUCAUGCUGGAGUCCAGGAGAGGUAAGCGGAAUUCCUAGUGUAGCGGUGAAAUGCGUAGAUAUUAGGAGGAACACCAGUGGCGAAGGCGGCUUACUGGACGGUAACUGACGUUGAGGCUCGAAAGCGUGGGGAGCAAACA
rnacentral:rRNA from 1 species